rnacentral:tRNA from 1 species
AAUAAGAUGGCCGAGCAUUAGGCAGUAAACUGUAAAUUUACCAACGAGAUACUUCUCUCUUAUUA